CACGCUGUAAACGAUCAAUACUAGGUGUGCGGGGACUGACCCCCUGCGUGCCGGAGUUAACACAAUAAGUAUUGCACCUGGGGAGUACGAUCGCAAGGUUGAAACUCAAAGGAAUUGACGGGGGCCCGCACAAGCGGUGGAGCAUGUGGUUUAAUUCGAAGCAACGCGAAGAACCUUACCAGGUCUUGACAUCCCGAUGACCGCUCUAGAGAUAGAGUUUUCCCUUCGGGGACAUUGGUGACAGGUGG
rnacentral:rRNA from 1 species